CCUACGGGUGACAGCAGUGGGGAAUAUUGCACAAUGGGGGAAACCCUGAUGCAGCGACGCCGCGUGAGUGAAGAAGUCUUUCGGGAUGUAAAGCUCUAUCCGCAAGGAAGAUAAUGACGGUACCUGAGGAAGAAGCCCCGGCUAACUACGUGCCAGCAGCCGCGGUAAUACGUAGGGGGCUAGCGUUAUCCGGAUUUACUGGGGGUAAAGGGGGCGUAGGCGGAUUCUUAAGUCAGAGGUGAAAGGCUAGGGCUUAACCGGAGUAAGCCUUUGAAACUGGGGAACUUGAGUGCAGGAGAGGAGAGUGGAAUUCCUAGUGUAGCGGUGAAAUGCGUAGAUAUUAGGAGGAACACCAGUUGCGAAGGCGGCUCUCUGGACUGUAACUGACGCUGAGGCACGAAAGCGUGGGGAGCAAACAGGAUUAGAUACCCCAGUAGUC
rnacentral:rRNA from 1 species